GAUGAACGCUGGCGGCGUGCCUAAUACAUGCAAGUCGAGCGAACAGAUGAGGAGCUUGCUCCUCUGACGUUAGCGGCGGACGGGUGAGUAACACGUGGAUAACCUACCUAUAAGACUGGGAUAACUUCGGGAAACCAGAGCUAAUACCGGAUAAUAUAUUGAACCGCAUGGUUCAAUAGUGAAAGACGGUUUUGCUGUCACCUAUAGAUGGAUCCGCGCCGCAUUAGCUAGUUGGUAAGGUAACGGCUUACCAAGGCAACGAUGCGUAGCCGACCUGAGAGGGUGAUCGGCCACACUGGAACUGAGACACGGUCCAGACUCCUACGGGAGGCAGCAGUAGGGAAUCUUCCGCAAUGGGCGAAAGCCUGACGGAGCAACGCCGCGUGAGUGAUGAAGGUCUUCGGAUCGUAAAACUCUGUUAUUAGGGAAGAACAAAUGUGUAAGUAACUAUGCACGUCUUGACGGUACCUAAUCAGAAAGCCACGGCUAACUACGUG
rnacentral:rRNA from 1 species